CCUACGGGUGGCAGCAGUGGGGAAUAUUGGACAAUGGUCGGAAGACUGAUCCAGCCAUGCCGCGUGCAGGAUGACGGCCUUAUGGGUUGUAAACUGCUUUUGUAAGGGAAGAAUAAGGAGUACGUGUACUUUGAUGACGGAACCUUACGAAUAAGCAUAGGCUAACUCCGUGCCAGCAGCCGCGGUAAUACGGAGGAUGCGAGCGUUAUCCGGAAUCAUUGGGUUUAAAGGGUCCGUAGGCGGGCUAAUAAGUCAGGGGUGAAAUCGUUCAGCUCAACUGAGCAACUGCCUUUGAAACUGUUAGUAUUGAAGAGUUGUGAAGUAGUUGGAAUGUGUAGUGUAGCGGUGAAAUGCGUAGAGAUUACACAGAACACCGAUAGCGAAGGCAUAUUACGAACAAUUGAUUGACGCUGAUGGACGAAAGCGUGGGGAGCGAACAGGAUUAGAUACCCGGGUAGUC
rnacentral:rRNA from 1 species